rnacentral:rRNA from 1 species
GAUGAACGCUGGCGGCGUGCCUAAUACAUGCAAGUCGAGCGAACAGACGAGGAGCUUGCUCCUUUGACGUUAGCGGCGGACGGGUGAGUAACACAUAGGUAACCUACCUAUAAGACUGGGAUAACUUCGGGAAACCGGAGCUAAUACCGGAUAAUAUUUCGAACCGCAUGGUUCGAUAGUGAAAGAUGGCUUUGCUAUCACUUAUAGAUGGACCUGCGCCGUAUUAGCUAGUUGGUAAGGUAACGGCUUACCAAGGCAACGAUACGUAGCCGACCUGAGAGGGUGAUCGGCCACACUGGAACUGAGACACGGUCCAGACUCCUACGGGAGGCAGCAGUAGGGAAUCUUCCGCAAUGGGCGAAAGCCUGACGGAGCAACGCCGCGUGAGUGAUGAAGGUCUUCGGAUCGUAAAACUCUGUUAUUAGGGAAGAACAAACGUGUAAGUAACUGUGCACGUCUUGACGGUACCUAAUCAGAAAGCCACGGCUAACUACGUG